rnacentral:rRNA from 1 species
UAACGAAUAUUGGGCAAUGGGCGAAAGCCUGACCCAGCGACGCCGCGUAUAGGAUGAAGUUCUUCGGAAUGUAAACUAUUGUCAGGGGCAAGAAAGACGUAAGUUUGAUCAGCCCCAGAGGAAGUCACGACUAACUUCGUGCCAGCAGUCGCGGUAAUACGAAGGUGACAAGCGUUAUUCGAAAUCACUGGGCUUAAAGGGUGCGUAGGCGGAAAUGUAAGUGUCUUGUGAAAUACCUUGGCUCAACCAAGGCAUUGCUCGGCAUACUGCAUUUCUUGAGGCAAGCAGGGGUGUGUGGAACUCUUGGUGGAGCGGUGGAAUGCGUAGAUAUCAAGAGGAACGCCGAAGGUGAAGACAGCACACUGGGCUUGUCCUGACGCUGAUGCACGAAAGCGUGGGGAGCAAACA